ACUGUCCCUAGAGGCUUUGCAGGUGUGGCUGCUGUGUCACUUGUGUGCAGAAAGGAGAGAGGCUAUGCCUCCAUUCAGUAUUCUGACCUACAAACAUCUAAAUGACCUAUGAAUAUCUAAAUGAUUAGCCUAAUGUC